AAUAAGCUGUUGCGUUAGCGGGUGAAGCGGCAGCCCCUGCCUACGCAAAAGCUUCGGCAGGCAAGCCCGAUAUUACAUUGGGCAGGGCUACAGCGGAACACGCGCCUUCUC
rnacentral:misc_RNA from 1 species